rnacentral:rRNA from 1 species
AAAGAGAGGGGGAAAUAAUAAGAGAGCGUAGGACGACAGAGAAAGAUUUGCUCCUGACCGUAGCGGCUGACGGUAGUACACGUGGCGCAACCUACCUAUAGGUGAUAACCCUGGAAACCGGGAGCUAAUACCCGGAGAAUCUAUUCACUCAGGUCGAAAUACGAAGACAGGUCUCACGGUGCGAUUUAAGAAUGGCCCAUGGCGAUAUAUCUACUUGGCGAGGGUACCGCUCACCCAAUAGCGACCAUUCGGUAUCACCACCUAAGACGAGAUAUACCCGCUAUGGACUUAGACACGGCCAGAAUCCUACGGAAGGGAGGAACGGGAAUCUUUCCUCAAAUUGGGCCAAACCCAUAGUGGCAACCACAUGUAAGGGAAGAAAAGAAUUCGGGUACCUUAAAACCAAUUUUAAGGGGAAAGAUGCCAGCCAAAUGGUGUUCCAGGCCAUUGGGAAAAACCCAUUAUCAUGGGCAAAAGCAUGGGGAAAACCGGGGAUCACCGAAUAAUUUUAUCAAACUCCCCCGUGGGGGGACCCUUAGUAAGAAAUGAAA